rnacentral:rRNA from 1 species
GUUAUAGACACCUGUUGAGCUGAUACGGUUCACUCAACAUACAAAAAUAAAAGUUACCUUAGGGAUAACAGCGUAAUUCUGGUAGAGAGGUCCUAUUGACGCCGGAGUUUGCGACCUCGAUGUUGAAUCUAGAUGUCCUGGGGGUGGAGAGGCCUCCAAGGGUUGGACUGUUCGCCCAUUAAAAUCUAACGUGAUUUGAGUUCAGACCGUUGUAAAGCAGGUCAGUUUCUAUCUACUGAGCAUUUUCAGAAUUAUAUACCAAGGCAUCCGCCUCGUACGAGAGGAUGGGAGGGUAUGGUUUUCCCUUGAUUUUCAAUUAGGCCACUUUGUCUCGUUGAGUCUCUACAAAGCAGGGCUUUACCCUCUGAUACAGACACAGUGGAAAUUCCUUCUCAAUUCUUAAUAGUUACUUAUGUCAAGUUAGGCUUCUCUCAACCUUGAGCCAAUCAGAGGUUAUUCCUUAAGAGCAUAUCUGAUUUAUUUAAACAUC